AUUGAACGCUGGCGGCAUGCUUUACACAUGCAAGUCGAGCGGUAACAGGCCGCAAGGUGCUGACGAGUGGCGAACGGGUGAGUAAUGCAUCGGAACGUGCCCAGCCGUGGGGGAUAACUACUCGAAAGAGUAGCUAAUACCGCAUACGAUCUAUGGAUGAAAGCGGGGGACCGUAAGGCCUCGCGCGAUUGGAGCGGCCGAUGCCAGAUUAGGUAGUUGGUGGGGUAAAGGCUCACCAAGCCAACGAUCUGUAGCUGGUCUGAGAGGACGACCAGCCACACUGGGACUGAGACACGGCCCAGACUCCUACGGGAGGCAGCAGUGGGGAAUUUUGGACAAUGGGCGCAAGCCUGAUCCAGCAAUGCCGCGUGCAGGAAGAAGGCCUUCGGGUUGUAAACUGCUUUUGUACGGAACGAAACGGCUCUGGUUAAUACCCGGGGCUAAUGACGGUACCGUAAGAAUAAGCACCGGCUAACUACGUG
rnacentral:rRNA from 1 species